rnacentral:rRNA from 1 species
GGGAGGCAGCAGUGGGGAAUAUUGCACAAUGGGCGCAAGCCUGAUGCAGCCAUGCCGCGUGUGUGAAGAAGGCCUUCGGGUUGUAAAGCACUUUCAGCGGGGAGGAAGGCGUUAAGGUUAAUAACCUCAUCGAUUGACGUUACCCGCAGAAGAAGCACCGGCUAACUCCGUGCCAGCAGCCGCGGUAAUACGGAGGGUGCAAGCGUUAAUCGGAAUUACUGGGCGUAAAGCGCACGCAGGCGGUCUGUCAAGUCGG